CUGGCUCAGGACGAACGCUGGCGGCGUGCCUAAUACAUGCAAGUCGAACGGUCUUUCUAUGGAAGCUUGCUUCCACUGAGAAGAUAGUGGCGAACGGGUGAGUAACACGUGGGUAACCUGCCCAUAAGAGGGGGGAUAACAUCCGGAAACGGGUGCUAAUACCGCAUAGUUUUCUUGAUCGCAUGAUUGAGAAAGGAAAGACGGCCUUUGUGCUGUCGCUUAUGGAUGGACCCGCGGCGUAUUAGUUAGUUGGUGAGGUAACGGCUCACCAAGACGAUGAUACGUAGCCGACCUGAGAGGGUGAUCGGCCACAUUGGGACUGAGACACGGCCCAAACUCCUACGGGAGGCAGCAGUAGGGAAUCUUCCGCAAUGGACGAAAGUCUGACGGAGCAACGCCGCGUGAGUGAAAGAAGGUUUUCGGAUCGUAAAACUCUGUUGUCAGAGAAGAACAAGUUGGAGAGUAACUGCUCCAGCCUUGACGGUAUCUGACCAGAAAGCCACGGCUAACUACGUGCCAGCCGCCGC
rnacentral:rRNA from 1 species